AUAAAACAAAUACCUGUAAUAAAUUCAAUAAAUUGUGUUCGAAAGACUUCGUAGAAAUAAAAAAAUUUAAAUAAAACUUAAAGAUUUUAUAUGUGAAACAUUUCCAUUUGGUGUUAUUGGACUUUAGUUUUUUUCUUAAUAUCUAUUGUUGACUUUGUUUCUUUAAUUAAAUUUCAACUUAAUUAACAACUUCAUUAUCAACAUCGUCAUCAACCAGUUAUGCUCUUCCUCUUCUUCGUAUAUGUUGAUUUUUUUGACGUUUUUAUAAACAAAAAGAAAAAAUUAAAAAAAAAAUAAUAAAUUAACAAAAAAAAAAUUUGUGGAGGUUUUUAACAAUUUACCAAAUAAAUAAUAAAUAAUUAGUGAAUAUUAAAAUAGCAACAAAAAAAUUAAAACGCAGCAAUAACGAAAACAAAAAAUGCCAACAAAUGAAAAUAUUUUACCGUAUAAAAAAAUAACGAAUAUAAAACGUAAAAUGUAAAACGAAAAUCGAAAAUAUAAAAGCAAAAUUAAACAACAAAAAUGUAAUUUAAGCAGACGGGUCAUUGACGAAAUUCUUUCGAUGGUAGUGUAGUCUAUUUUAUUAUUUGUCGAGUUAUGUAGGGGUAUUUUCUUCUUUAUAUAAAACUACUGGUAUUUAGCUGCUUUCGUGUGUCAAAAACAACAAAAAUUGAAUGAUUUGACAGUCGGUGUUUUUUUUAUUUUGCUGCUGUAUUGUUGUUUUUAAUCUGUGAUAAUUCUUUAGAGAGUUGUAAAGAAUGCAUUUAAAAUAGUGUUGUAAAGUGUUUGCAUUUUUUAUAUAGAUUUAUUCCCUUAUUUACAAACAAAAUUUUUAAUUUUUUAAACGGUUUAUAUAUUAGAUUUUGUACGGAAAUUUUGUUUUAUAAACAUUUUAUAAAAUAAAAAUGUUGUUUGUGAAUAAAGGGGUUAAUAUAAAAUCAUUUGUUUUACCUAAUUUUUUUUUAAUAAUAUUGCUCGAUAACCCAGCAAAAUCUAAGUAAUGGGUUGUAGUUCCAUAACCACUUACUUUUCAAUGACUAUAUACUUGCCUUUUGCAUCUCUAUGAAGUACUUGAGUAAUAACUUUCUUUUAAUCUGAUAUCAAAGUACUUUAUUUUCCGCUUUGUCAUUUUUUUUGCAUAUUUUAUUUAAUUGCGUGUUAUGAAUAAAUGAAGGAAAAUGAGGUGCA